UGGGGGAUAUUGCACAAUGGGGGAAACCCUGAUGCAGCGACGCCGCGUGAGGGAAGAAGGUUUUCGGAUUGUAAACCUCUGUCUAAGGGGACGAACACAAUGACGGUACCCUUGGAGGAAGCCACGGCUAACUACGUGCCAGCAGCCGCGGUAAUACGUAGGUGGCAAGCGUUGUCCGGAAUUACUGGGUGUAAAGGGAGUGUAGGCGGGUAGACAAGUAAAAUGUGAAAUGUAUCGGCUCAACCGGUACCUGCGUUUUAAACUAUCUAUCUUGAGUGUAGUAGAGGUAGGCGGAAUUCCCAGUGUAGCGGUAAAAUGCGUAGAUAUUGGGAGGAACACCAGUGGCGAAGGCGGCUUACUGGGCUAUAACUGACGCUGAGGCUCGAAAGCAUGGGGAGCAAACA
rnacentral:rRNA from 1 species